rnacentral:rRNA from 1 species
AUACCGGGCCUUUUUGGGCUUGGUAAUUGGAAUGAGGGAGAGUUAAACGGACCAUCGAGUAUCCAUUGGAGGGCAAGUCUGGUGCCAGCAGCUGCGGUAAUACCAGCUCCAAUAGCGUAUAUUAAAGUUGUUGCAGUUAAAAAGCUCGUAGUUGGACUUGUGUGCGCUGUCCGCGGGUGGCCUGCGCCCAAAAGGGCGUUUCGGUUCGGCCCCGGUGGCGCCUUGAAAUCUGCAGCUGGGGGGACGUUGGCCUUAACUGGUCGGCGACCGCACGCCGGCUGCUCGGUUACUGUGAGAAAAUUAGAGUGUUCAAGGCAGGCAUUGGGUGCAAUUGAAUACAUUAGCAUGGAAUAAUAAAAUAUGGCUCCUGCCGUAUUUUGUUGGUUUUGACUGGUGGGAGUAAUGAUUGAUAGGGACGGUUGGGGGUGCUAGUAUUGAGCGGCCAGAGGUGAAAUUCAUGGAUUCGCUCAAGACUAACUUACGCGAAAGCAUUCACCAAGGACGUCCUCUUUAAUCAAGAACGAAAGUUGGGGGAUCGAAGACGAUCAGAUACCGUCGUAGUCUCAACCAUAAACUAUGUCGACUUGGGAUCGGCGGUAGUUUUUUCAUUAAGACACUGUCGGGACCACGGGAGAAAUCAAAGUGUCUGGACUCUGGGGGAAGUAUGGUCGCAAGGCUGAAACUUGAAGGAAUUGACGGAAGGGCACCACCAGGAGUGGAGCCUGCGGCUUAAUUUGACACAACACGGGGAAACUUACCAGGUCCAGAGAUGUAGAGGAUCGACAGAUUGAAGCUCUUUCUUGAUCACUUCGGUGGUGGUGCAUGGCCGUUCUUAGUUGGUGGAGUGAUUUGUCUGGUUAAUUCCGUUAACGAACGAGACCUCAGCCUGCUAGUGUAGUCGGCUGGAUUGCCUUUGGCGAUCCGUGAUUUCGACUUCUUAGAGGGACAAUCGACGCGCAGUCGAUGGAAGUUUGAGGCAAUAACAGGUCUGUGAUGCCCUUAGAUGUUCUGGGCCGCACGCGCGCUACACUGCUGGGCUCAGCGAGUUUUACUUGGCCGAGAGGCCCGGUUAAUCUUGUGAAAUCCCAGCGUGCUUGGGCUCGCCUCCUGCAACUGGAGGCGCCAACGAGGAAUUCCUAGUAGACGCAGGUCAUCAACCUGCAUCGAUUACGUCCCUGCCCUUUGUACACACCGCCCGUCGUUCCAUAAGAGUGAGGCAUCCGGUGAAUUCUCGGGAGAGCCUGGGCGUGGCCAGCAAUGGUCUGCUCGGGUUUGAACUUGCAUAAACUUGGUGCCUAUGAUUAGGG